rnacentral:rRNA from 1 species
UGGGGAAUAUUGCACAAUGGAGGGAACUCUGAUGCAGCGACGCCGCGUGAGUGAUGAAGGACUUCGUUUCGUAAAACUCUGUUCUAUGGGAAGAAAAGGACUGUACCAUAGGAGAAAGCUCCGGCUAAAUACGUGCCAGCAGCCGCGGUAAUACGUAUGGAGCGAGCGUUGUCCGGAAUUAUUGGGCGUAAAGGGUGCGCAGGCGGCUUUACAAGUUGGAUGUGAAAUAUUGUGGCUCAACCACAAACGUGCAUCCAAAACUGCAAAGCUUGAGUUAAGGAGAGGUAAGUAGAAUUCCUGGUGUAGCGGUGGAAUGCGUAGAUAUCAGGAGGAAUACCGGUGGCGAAGGCGACUUACUGGACUUAAACUGACGCUCAGGCACGAAAGCGUGGGGAGCAAACAGG